rnacentral:rRNA from 1 species
AACGAACGCUGGCGGCAUGCCUAACACAUGCAAGUCGAACGAGACCUUCGGGUCUAGUGGCGCACGGGUGCGUAACGCGUGGGAACCUGCCCUUAGGUUCGGAAUAACUCCCCGACAGGGGUGCUAAUACCGGAUAAUGUCUUCGGACCAAAGAUUUAUCGCCUUUGGAUGGGCCCGCGUUGGAUUAGCUAGUUGGUAGGGUAAAAGCCUACCAAGGCGACGAUCCAUAGCUGGUCUGAGAGGAUGAUCAGCCACACUGGGACUGAGACACGGCCCAGACUCCUACGGGAGGGAGCAGUGGGGAAUAGUGGACAAUGGGCGAAGGCCUGAUCCAGCAAGGCCGCGUGAGUGAUGAAGGCCUUAGGGUUGUAAAGCUCUUUUACCCGGGAUGAUAAUGACAGUACCGGGAGAAUAAGCGCCGGCUAACUCCGUG